CUUCAGGAAGCACCUCAGAGAU
rnacentral:piRNA from 1 species